AGAGUUUGAUCCUGGCUCAGGAUGAACGCUAGCGACAGGCUUAACACAUGCAAGUCGAGGGGCAGCACAGGUAGCAAUACCGGGUGGCGACCGGCGCACGGGUGAGUAACGCGUAUGCAACUUACCUAUCAGAGGGGGAUAACCCGGCGAAAGUCGGACUAAUACCGCAUGAAGCAGGGGCCCCGCAUGGGGAUAUUUGCUAAAGAUUCAUCGCUGAUAGAUAGGCAUGCGUUCCAUUAGGCAGUUGGCGGGGUAACGGCCCACCAAACCGACGAUGGAUAGGGGUUCUGAGAGGAAGGUCCCCCACAUUGGUACUGAGACACGGACCAAACUCCUACGGGAGGCAGCAGUGAGGAAUAUUGGUCAAUGGCCGAGAGGCUGAACCAGCCAAGUCGCGUGAGGGAUGAAGGUUCUAUGGAUCGUAAACCUCUUUUAUAAGGGAAUAAAGUGCGGGACGUGUCCCGUUUUGUAUGUACCUUAUGAAUAAGGAUCGGCUAACUCCGUGCCAGCAGCCGCGGUAAUACGGAGGAUCCGAGCGUUAUCCGGAUUUAUUGGGUUUAAAGGGAGCGUAGAUGGAUGUUUAAGUCAGUUGUGAAAGUUUGCGGCUCAACCGUAAAAUUGCAGUUGAUACUGGAUAUCUUGAGUGCAGUUGAGGCAGGCGGAAUUCGUGGUGUAGCGGUGAAAUGCUUAGAUAUCACGAAGAACUCCGAUUGCGAAGGCAGCCUGCUAAGCUGCAACUGACAUUGAGGCUCGAAAGUGUGGGUAUCAAACAGGAUUAGAUACCCUGGUAGUCCACACGGUAAACGAUGAAUACUCGCUGUUUGCGAUAUACUGCAAGCGGCCAAGCGAAAGCGUUAAGUAUUCCACCUGGGGAGUACGCCGGCAACGGUGAAACUCAAAGGAAUUGACGGGGGCCCGCACAAGCGGAGGAACAUGUGGUUUAA
rnacentral:rRNA from 1 species